UGAAAUUAACCAAAAAAUCAAGAUGGUGGCCGGCCAUGCUAUGGGUUAAAGCAUAUUAUAAACAUUUUGUGUUAAUGUUUUAUGUUAGAAAUAAUAAAAUAAAAGGUUAGUAAUAAAGUAAUGAAAAGGGAGGGGUGAUGAAAACAAAGUUGUCCCAUCCAUGCUCCCCCAUUGUCGUGACUUGAGGAAGGAAGAAGAAGAGGAUUCUCUUGCUUCAUGUUCGGUUGGUUGAUGUUUAGGAAGAG
rnacentral:lncRNA from 1 species